rnacentral:rRNA from 1 species
UACGGAGGGUGCAAGCGUUUAUCCGGAUUCACUGGGUUUAAAGGGUGCGUAGGUGGGUUGGUAAGUCAGUGGUGAAAUCCCCGAGCUUAACUUGGGAACUGCCAUUGAUACUAUCAGUCUUGAAUACCGUGGAGGUCAGCGGAAUAUGUCAUGUAGCGGUGAAAUGCUUAGAUAUGACAUAGAACACCAAUUGCGAAGGCAGCUGGCUACACGGAUAUUGACACUGAGGCACGAAAGCGUGGGGAUCAAACAGG